rnacentral:tRNA from 2 species
UUAAUUGAAGCCAAAAAGAGGCUUAUCACUGUUAAUGAUAAAAUUGAGAUUCAUACUCCAAUUAAA